UACGAAGGGGGCUAGCGUUGCUCGGAAUCACUGGGCGUAAAGCGCACGUAGGCGGCUUGUUAAGUCAGGGGUGAAAUCCUGGAGCUCAACUCCAGAACUGCCUUUGAUACUGGCGAGCUUGAGUUCGGGAGAGGUGAGUGGAACUGCGAGUGUAGAGGUGAAAUUCGUAGAUAUUCGCAAGAACACCAGUGGCGAAGGCGGCAUCCUGGACUGGUCCUGGACACUCAGGAGCGAAAGCGUGGGGAAGCGAGUCCGGAUUGA
rnacentral:rRNA from 1 species